CGGCGCGAAAGGACCCAGGUUCGAGCCUCCAGCCGGAUGGGAGCGGCCAGAGGCUCCGGGACCCGGUGGCCUUACCCAGAGUAGGGACUCAGAUCAGGCCUGUGGUUUUGGUGGGCACAGAGAGGAGGGUGAAGGGGACAACUGUGGUUCAAUGGGGAGGACAAAAGAUCCACUCCUGGUUCUCCGGAGGCCAGUGCAGGGUGAGGGGAUAGCAGCAUAGGGUCCUCGCUGUGGGGUGAGAGGAACCCUGAGAGGCUGGGCCAGCUUUCCUAGAUGGAUGUGGGGGGACGACCUGCUGAGAUGGCAGCCCCAGGAGGGAAGGGACUUCUUUAUGGCUUGUUCUCUGCUGUGUCCCCAGUGCCCAGAACAGCACCUGGCCUAGCAGGCACUCAAUGAAUGUUUGAAGAAUGAACAAA